AAGCAGAGGCUCAUCGGAGGAUACUGAAAAGUAGAGUCACCUGCAGAAGCAAAGGCCCCUCCUGUGAACCAGUUCUCUGAGUGCACCAGCCCAUUGCAGGGUACUGAGCAGGGACCACGGUGGGUGGAGAGCACGUGGGAAGGGUCAUCGGUGAGGCCUGAUGCUGUGGCCCCGAAGGCUUCUGCUGCACGGAGCCCGAUGGCACUGAGGUAGGCAUCUUCCAGGGCAGCCCCAGUCAGCCUCAAAUGACUGCUGGUAUCCUUCCUCUGUGUGGUCUUGGACUGUGUGCUGGGCCUUGUGUCUAGUCCAGAGACCUUUCAGAGUGGUGAGGUGGCGCUUCUGAGGGAGCAGUGGGUGCAGCAGUCUCUGGCUUCCUGCCUCAUUUGCCCUUCUUGCCCUCCUGCUCUUGCACUCUGAGGGAAGCCAGGUGGCAGCCUAUAAACUGCCCCAUGGAGGGGCUGGCAUAGCGAACAACCAUGAGGAGCCACCAGCCAGCAGUCAGCAAGGAACCAAAAGCAUAGUCCAGCAACCCUCAAGGGACUGAGUUCUGCCAACCACCAUGCGAGUGAGCUUGGAAGCAGACCCCUCCUUCUUGAGCUUUGCAAUGACAGCAGCCCUGUGGGAGAUCCCGGGUACAGGACUCAGAUGAGCGGCUCUGGGAUUCCUGACCCACAGAAACUGUGAGCUGGAAACUCCAGAGGGAACUGAACCAAAUGGGAGCUCCCACCGCCAAGAUCCAGCCCUGUUGCUUGGAUGCUGGUGAAGGUGGGCAGAAGGGAGGCAGAGCUCUGGAGCGAGGUUGUGGAGCUAUCUAUCAGAGGUGGAGGGAUGGGACUCGAACUCACAACCUCACGCUUGCCAGGCAGGUGCUGUGCUGCUGAACUAAAUCCCAGGCUUCCCAUUUCUUUAUUUUUGAAAAAUUGUUUUAGUACAGGUAUGCAGUGCAGAAUGACUACACUCACCGAGGGGAGUCAGCACACGCAGAGAACCUGAAAUGGAUUCUGAGAGGUUUCUUCCCCCUUGGCAACAAGAGAGGAUAUUGUGAGUUACUUUAUUGGAGGCAUUGG